AACUUCCUGUUUUUUGUCUCACAGUGCUGACAGUUGCCUUGCAUAGAAAAGCUUAACAAAUGAGUAACACAUGGAGUCAACAAAAGUCUUAUCAAGGACAUCUAAACUUUGACAAGUUCAGAUAUUAUACACAGACCGACAGUACUGUGACGACUGGAACAACACCAGGAACCUGGCAGAGUUACUUGUGGCCGACCAUCCUGGAAAAGAAAUCACACCUGCCUAAGUAGAUUGGCCUGGCCAAUUGGACUGUGCCAUUCUACAACAGCCAGAGGGGUGUCCUCAGGAGCCACUAAAUCUGCACCACAGAGGAGAAGGUCUUUUCUCCCCUCCAAUCAACUAUGGACUGGCCAGCAUAUAUAUCCUGCAGUUAGAAGACGGAGGAGAGUGUCUCUUGUUCAGUAGAGCCCCCUCACUAUGUUGUUUAGGCCCAAGUUCGAGUUAGUAAGUUUUUUUUAGACUUUAGAGCAAUUGUGUUAAAUAUGUUUAGUUAUUUUAAUUUGUCACUUUGGUUUGAUUUUGUUCACCAUCUUAAUUAUUCUAAAUACCAUCAUAUGAAAUCCCUAUUUCUCCCCACCUUUACUUGCUCUAUGCGUACUGUGAUGGCAGAUGUGCUCAGACAAUCGGGAAUGAAGAAUUAAGUCUCUGAA